UUUGAUGGCGACCGGCGCACGGGUGAGUAACACGUAUCCAACCUGCCCUUUACUCGGGGAUAGCCUUUCGAAAGAAAGAUUAAUACCCGAUAGCAUAAUGAUUCCGCAUGGUUUCAUUAUUAAAGGAUUCCGGUAAAGGAUGGGGAUGCGUUCCAUUAGGUUGUUGGUGAGGUAACGGCUCACCAAGCCUUCGAUGGAUAGGGGUUCUGAGAGGAAGGUCCCCCACAUUGGAACUGAGACACGGUCCAA
rnacentral:rRNA from 1 species